rnacentral:siRNA from 1 species
UAGAAUGAACAAAUGUAUGCCU